UACGAAGGGUGCAAGCGUUACUCGGAAUCACUGGGCGUAAAGCGUGCGUAGGCGGUUCGUUAAGUCUGCUGUGAAAGCCCUGGGCUCAACCUGGGAACUGCAGUGGAUACUGGCGGACUAGAGUGUGAUAGAGGAUGGUGGAAUUCCCGGUGUAGCGGUGAAAUGCGUAGAGAUCGGGAGGAACACCAGUGGCGAAGGCACUCUACUGGGCCAUUACUGACACUGAGAGACGAAAGCUAGGGGAGCAAAUGGG
rnacentral:rRNA from 1 species